UACGGAGGGGGCUAGCGUUGUUCGGAAUUACUGGGCGUAAAGCGCACGCAGGCGGCUUUGUAAGUUAGAGGUGAAAGCCCAGGGCUUAACCCUGGAAUUGCCUUUAAGACUGCAUCGCUAGAAUCGUGGAGAGGUAAGUGGAAUUCCGAGUGUAGAGGUGAAAUUCGUAGAUAUUCGGAAGAACACCAGUGGCGAAGGCGACUUACUGGACACGUAUUGACGCUGAGGUGCGAAAGCGUGGGGAGCAAACAGG
rnacentral:rRNA from 1 species